CCUACGGGAGGCAGCAGUGAGGAAUAUUGGUCAAUGGCCGUAAGGCUGAACCAGCCAAGUCGCGUGAAGGAAGAAGGAUCUAUGGUUUGUAAACUUCUUUUAUAGGGGAAUAAAGGUAUCCACGUGUGGAUAUUUGCAUGUACCCUAUGAAUUAGCAUCGGCUAACUCAGUGCCAGCAGCCGCGGUAAUUCGGAGGAUGCGAGCGUUAUCCGGAUUUAGUGGGUUUAAUGGGUGCGUAGGUUGUUUUGUAAGUCAGCGGUGAAAGUUUGUGGCUUAACCAUAAAAUUGCCGUUGAAACUGGAAGACUUGAGUGUGUUUGAGGUAGGCGGAAUGCGUGGUGUAGCGGUGAAAUGCAUAGAUAUCACGCAGAACUCCGAUUGCGAAGGCAGCUUACUAAGCCAUAACUGACACUGAAGCACGAAAGCGUGGGGAUCAAACAGGAUUAGAUACCCCUGUAGUC
rnacentral:rRNA from 1 species